rnacentral:rRNA from 1 species
AUUGAACGCUGGCGGCAGGCCUAACACAUGCAAGUCGAGCGGAUGAGUGGAGCUUGCUCCAUGAUUCAGCGGCGGACGGGUGAGUAAUACCUAGGAAUCUGCCUGGUAGUGGGGGACAACGUUUCGAAAGGAACGCUAAUACCGCAUACGUCCUACGGGAGAAAGUGGGGGAUCUUCGGACCUCACGCUAUCAGAUGAGCCUAGGUCGGAUUAGCUAGUUGGUGAGGUAAAGGCUCACCAAGGCGACGAUCCGUAACUGGUCUGAGAGGAUGAUCAGUCACACUGGAACUGAGACACGGUCCAGACUCCUACGGGAGGCAGCAGUGGGGAAUAUUGGACAAUGGGCGAAAGCCUGAUCCAGCCAUGCCGCGUGUGUGAAGAAGGUCUUCGGAUUGUAAAGCACUUUAAGUUGGGAGGAAGGGCAGUAAGUUAAUACCUUGCUGUUUUGACGUUACCAACAGAAUAAGCACCGGCUAACUUCGU